UUUUUAUAUUUUCUUUACGUUUGUUUAAUGAUUUCCCAUAAAUUUCCACCAAAAAAUCGGAGGAAUAGAGAUGUUUUCUCUUAACUCCUCCAAGAGAAAUUCAUAAAUAACUGCAAAGGUUUUAUGGAUUGCGAGUAAGGGUACGAGGAUGAUUAUGAACAACGCUUGGAUGCAUGAAUUCCGAUAUUAUUUUGAGAACGAAAUACGAUAACACAUUGUUCCCUUUUUUGAGACUUUGAAGAAAAUAAGCAUGACGAUGACAACGACAUACUCAGAGUGAAAAUGGAAAUUUUUUAAUCGCACAAAUUCCCAUUACUAUUUGGCAACAUUGGAAUACUUUCCUUUCAAUUUCGAUUCAUUUUCAAAUUCCUCGUAAAGCCCGAUAACAUAAUCAACUUUUAUUCUGUGGAAAUGUUCUAUAACAUUCUAAAUGGUUUCCAAUGAAUGCGAAUUUAACCACAAAGGAAUAUAAAAUUGAAAACUCUUUGUUAUUAUGUUUCGCCAUAAUUUGAUAUGUUUAUUGCCAUAAUGGAAAAAUGAAUUUGACAAUUGGAAAUUCGAGAAAUGGUAAACUUGUUGAACAACGGCGUAUGGGAGGUGAGUGUUUCUUUGACAAUAGGGAAAUGAACAC
rnacentral:sRNA from 1 species